rnacentral:rRNA from 1 species
CUACGGGCGGCUGCAGUGAGGAAUUUUGCGCAAUGGGGGAAACCCUGACGCAGCAACGCCGCGUGAGCGAAGAAGGCCUUCGGGUCGUAAAGCUCUGUCAAGUGGGAAAAAAAUUCUUUGAUGAACAGUCAAAGGACUUGAUGGUACCACUGGAGGAAGCACCGGCUAACUCCGUGCCAGCAGCCGCGGUAAUACGGAGGGUGCAAGCGUUGCUCGGAAUUACUGGGCGUAAAGAGCGUGUAGGCGGUUUGACAAGUCAGAUGUGAAAGCCCCGGGCUCAACCCGGGAAGUGCAUUUGAAACUGUUUCACUAGAGUAUGGGAGAGGAGAUUGGAAUUCCUGGUGUAGAGGUGAAAUUCGUAGAUAUCAGGAGGAACACCCGUGGCGAAGGCGAUUCUCUGGACCAAUACUGACGCUGAGACGCGAAAGCGUGGGGAGCAAACAGGAUUAGAUACCCCGGUAGUC